rnacentral:rRNA from 2 species
GGUCAAGCUACAAAGGGCUCACGGCGGAUACCUUGGCACACAGAGGCGAUGAAGGACGUGGUUACCUGCGAUAAGUCUCGGGGAGCUGGAAACACGCUUUGAUCCGGGAAUUUCCGAAUGGGGCAACCCCUUGUACGGCCAGCUGAAUACAUAGGCUGGCGCGAGCCAACCCAGCGAACUGAAACAUCUUA